GGGGUGGUGGCGCAGUUGGUUAGCGCCUAGGACUCAUAGCUACUGAGUAAUCCUGAGGUCGAGAGUUUGAGCCUCUCUCACCCCA
rnacentral:tRNA from 1 species